UACGUAGGUGGCAAGCGUUGUCCGGAAUCACUGGGCGUAAAGGGCGCGUAGGCGGUCAUUUAAGUCGGGUGUGUAAUCUUUGGGCUCAACCUGAAGUUUGCAUUCGAUACUGGGUGACUUGAGUGCAGGAGAGGACAGUGGAAUUCCUAGUGUAGCGGUGAAAUGCGUAGAUAUUAGGAGGAACACCAGUGGCGAAGGCGGCUGUCUGGACUGUAACUGACGCUGAGGCGCGAAAGCGUGGGGAG
rnacentral:rRNA from 1 species